AGUGAAGAAUGAAAAAACACGAUCCGGUUGGUAGUCCGGAUGCAUGUUCAUCAUGUCAGUAACCUUCCCCUCCUCGGGAUGUCCGUCGUUCUUCUGUCACAU
rnacentral:ncRNA from 1 species